AAAAAGCAUGAGAUCCUUCUCCAGAAUUAGCAAACUGGCUGCCAGCAUCAUCUGAUCACAAAUGUUCAGUUUCAUUUCAACAGACCUCUGAGAUGUUAAAAAUGCUCGUUUGCCAGGGAUUCUUCUAAAACUUCAGAGCCAAUGAUAUAACCGAAACCAAUGUACUGAAUGAUACUGAAGAAAGUGAUGGAACAGACAUAUGUCCAAAACUAUUUAAGGCACAUCAAGAGAUUAAAAGCAUUGCUGAUGUCAUCAAAAGCCUUUCUGAAAGGAUGGAUGAAACCAGCAUCUUCAGUAUUUGCAUUACCAGAGAUCAGAUGCUUGAGAGAGGCCUAAAACAAUGGCAGCGACAGAAAAAAUCUUCCCCCAAAAAUCCUCUCAGAGUUUCUUUUAAUGGAGAGGCUGGCAUUGACAAUGGCGCUUUGAGGAAGGAAUUUUUAACUGAAAUGAUGACUGGAAUAGAGAAGCGGUUCUUUGAGGGAGGAGAAAAUGGCAAAACCCCCAAAUAUUCAAUGACGGACAUGGACAAACACAACUUCAAAACUAUUGGGGAGAUAUUUUCUGUCAGCAUCACACAAGGUGGGCCACCACCAAACUUUUUUAUGGAGUGGUGUUACAACUACAUAUCCACGGGAGAAAUGGAUCCGGAAGUAAUAACUGAAAGGGACGUCACAGACCCUGAACUCAUGGAGCUAAUAAAAGAGGUAGGUUAUUUAAAUGUGGUGAAAGUGCAUUGUCAAUCAUAAUUUUGUUUAUGUAGUUCUUCUUCUUCUUCUUAACAUUCUUUUUUUUUUUGUAUUCUUGUAAACUUAAAACAAUAAACUAAGGUACCUUUAUAUUGUAUGUGUGACUUGAGUAAAUGUGGUUUUGAUCAAAGAUUAAGGCAGCUGACCACACAACCCUGAUGGAGUGCACAGACAGGAUUUUGUUAUGUGGAUACACGGGGGCAGUGUCCAUUGAAAGAAAAGAAGACAUUAUGUGGGAAGACGUCUCCUUUAAUGCAGGCUUACCUUGUAGAAUUUAUUAGGGGUUCAAGCACGAAGUGCUGAAACCCUCUUGUAAUUGUAAGGAUUUUUUUAUUAUUAUUUUUCUCCGGUAAAACUGAUCGUGCAGCCCAAACCGUAAGGCGUAGAGAGCUGAAACUUGGUCAGAUUGUAGUAGUAUUGCUCGCUACUCAGAUACAAAGCCUCGCCCCAAUCGGCCUAACGGUGGCACUACAGCGCAAAAACCUAAAAUUUUACACAUUUUUGGCCGUAGCUCAUACACCGUUUGUUUUUGUUUUUGUUAAAACAAAAUUGAGUUAUAUCUGAGACCUACUUUUGCGAACUAGUCCUAGGUUUUUAACCUGAUCGGAAUCAAACCACGUCAGAAAUAUUCCCUGGACACUGAAUAUCAAUAAUUAUCAAAAAAGUUUUACAAUUUAGAUUUUCACGCGAAACAGUACGUCAAUUAGCGUCUAUGCUAACGUUAGCCAAAUGUUAUUUGAAGCAUAACUCUGGAACGGAAUGAGAUAUCUUCACCAAACUCGGUACAAAUGUGUAUGAGCUCAAUCUUUGGUCAAAUAAAAAAAUGCGCAGCUCUGCUACUUGGGGGCGCUAUAAGACUGAAAAAACAUAAAAACAGUGAUAACUAAGCAACCGUUGGUCCCAUCUACUUGACAAUUGGUAUGCAGCAUCUUGGUCCAAAGGGCCACGAGUGUAUAUGAGGUCAUUUGCGUAUCUCAAAAAACAUGAAAUGAAAUUUAAACACCUAUUAAACAAGGUUAACGGAGGUCGAUCGGAACAAAAUUUGGUGGGCAUGUUCGACUCAUGGCCCUAAAGGUCUGUAAGAAUUUUGAAAGAAAUCGGUUCUAUGUUCUGAACAACAGAAAUCAUACAGUGUACUAACUGAUCAACAAUUGCAGGUACAAGCUAGAAGCUACUAACAAAGUGUAUCAUAAAUGAACAAUUAUUCAAUUAUUAUUAUUAUUAAAUUAUAAUUGUUACGGUCUAAAGUGGUCUAGGGAAGACCGCAACAGAACUAAAAAUGGUUGGUGGUGAGGCACUGUGCGACGGCAGAGAAAACGUCUCCAGACCCAGAAAAGGUUACAAUAACCCACACAGCCACGGUAGUUCAGCAAAAAGAGAAGUUUUUAUUUACCAUCUAAACAGAAGUAACAUUAAAGGGGUAUUAACUUCAGAAGGGGGCAAGGCCAAAAUAACAAACAUAAAGGAGCUAACUGUAUAAACCAACUGACUAAACUUCAAAGAAAAGAAAAGAAAAUACAGCAGAUUUAAACUAACUCCCUAAACUAACAUAAACAGGAGAAAAUAAGUAAUACAAAACAAAAUGGCACCCACCUUCCUACUAAACCCAAAACAAAAGACAUAAAUCAAAACUUAACAUUUAUAAUGGGCUACUGAAGUUAACACUCUGUAGAUUAAGGAUCAGUCUUAGCUGUAAUCAACGAAACCAACGGUAGAAACUCUACUUCAACAAUCUCAACACAAUUGAGAUAAAGGUACACCAAAGCACCAAUUAGUAGUGAUGUGACGUUCAACACCGAGGCUUCGAAGCCUGUAUCAAAAAAAAACCAAGCAUCUGGCAGUGAAGCACUGUACCGGAGCUUGAUUCAUUUUGCCAAAACCACGUGAUCUGUGACGUCCGAAGCUUCGUUUUCGCACACAGCCACAUGACUGCUUCGUAUUCUGUUUCAAAUAACGCAAACCACUUGCGCAGUUUGAAGUGUCACUCACUUCUUUGAUAAGAAUGAAUCAAUAUACGAAUAAAUUAGUGGUGGGCCGUUAUCGGCGUUAACGUGCUGCGUUAACGUGAGAGUCUUAUCGGGCGAUAAAAAAAAUAUCGCCGUUAAUCUAUUCUCAAAGUUGGGUUGGGAGCUGGGUCUAUACUACGCAAACUAUGAUGACUUUCACCUCGAUAUUUUAGCGCGGAUGUAUACCUAGCCGAAUUGCACUGUAGGGGGCGAGAACGAGUCUUCGAACCUGUGUGUAUGCGUGCUAACAUGGAUGCAGUUAUGAAGCCGCCGGGUUUGCUUCAGGGCAAAUUUAUUUUUAAGAAGUUACAUGGUCGCGCUCUCUGUAUCGCGCGCACAGCGGAGUUCCGCCCCGGUUCGCACACACACACACGCACACACACAAACAAACAAACAAACGUAAGCGCACACACAAGUGAACACACUCCCACUCCUAUUUGUUAAUAUUAAGCCGCAAAACGUCUAUUUAAAUAUGACUUCUGUGUGUCUCUGUGUUAAUGUAUGGCGCAGACGCGCGGGUUUGUUCACUACUCAUACAGAAGACCGCGUGACGCUUGCGGCGAUAUUAACGUCUGUCCUCUCACUAAAUGAGGACAUAAAUACAUGAACAACAUCUCCAGAACUAUCCUCACGGCAACCCGUCAAAAUAAAAGUUCGGUUUCACUUGAAGACAUUGGGCAACGUAAUAGACUACUACUACUAAAACUAUUAAAACCUUAUCUUUAAGGAAUAAUCAUACAAUGUCUUCAAUGUUAUUAUCAAUAUUAAAUUCUUGAUGACUGCUAGUUGUUUACUUAUCUACUUGGCAGAAUUCAAAUGAGCCAUUUUAAUCUAGAUUAAUCUAGAUUAAUUCCAAGAUUACAGUGAGAUUAAUCUAGAUUAAAAAAAUUAAUCUAUGCCCACCACUAGAAUAAAUAUAUGCAUGUGUAGUUUUGUGUAUGUUCAUUUUGUAUUAAUUCCCGCUUUAGCUGACCAUUCUGAUAAUCUUCUUUUAUUUUGAUCAUUUAUGCAUAUCAUAUAUUCUUGCCUAUUUUUUCCACAAAUUCAUUCACAGACUCAUUUAUUCAUAUAUUGUGUAAAACAAUGACUGACAUGUAAAAGAUUAAUUUAUAUAGAGUUAAUACUUUCUUUGCUUUAUUUUCAUAGCACAAACUGAUUUAUUAUCUGAAACAAUCCAAAAAUGGCUGGGUCGUCUGGGAGGCAAAGGCAGCUAUUUCCACCUUUUGACCACAAGAUGUCGUUAGUGUGCAUCGUCUUGAAAAGCUUCGAGUUAUGAACCUUUUUACGAUACAGUUGAGGUGAAGCCUCGGUGCUUCGCAAAGCUUAAUUUUUCCAUCACUACCAAUUAGGGCUUCACAAUAAAUUCUGAAGUCUAAAGAUGAGUUCUCAGCCGUCGCACACCAUCCAGCCACCACCAACUGCUGGUCUGAGUAGCAGCUGAAGUUUAAGUACUCGCUCUCCUCUCCCAUUCCCCAAUCACAGCAGAGCUCGUAAUUAGUCUCAGGUGGGAGAUACAGGUUCUGCAGAGAGAGAGAGAGAGAGAGAGAAAACAAGGCAUGGAGUUCACACAACAGAACCUUACGGCUCUGGACGUAACACCCCCACCACCAAAGAAUAUAACCACCCAUUGGUUAUAAGCACAAAAGUACAAAACACUCAUUAACCAUCCAAGGAAUGAACUCUAGACAGGGCAUCAGCAAUGAUGUUAUCAGCUCCUUUCUUGUGACGGAUGUCAAGAUGAUAUUCCUGUACAAUUAAAGACCAACACAUUAAACAUUGAUUAGUGUUAGACAUACGAUUUAGAAACACCAACGGAUUGUGAUCUGUAUACACCAGAAUUGGGGCAUCACUUCCACCCAGGUAGACUUCGAAAUGUUGGAGGGCUAAUAACAAUGCUAGAGCCUCCUUCUCGAUUACACUAUAAUUUUGCUCACACUUAUUGAAUUUCUUUGAGAAAAAUGAUACAGGAUGGUCGAUUCCACCUUCAUCCUCUUGCAUCAGGACCGCCCCGGCUCCUACAGCACUGGCAUCAACCUGCAAUUUGAACUGCUGAGAGAAAUUUGGUGCAGAAAGAACAGGUGCUGUACAGAGAAGAUCUUUUGCAGCAUUGAAUGCUUCCAUACACUCUGGAGUCCACACAAAUCUCCUAGAAGUGCUUAAAAGCCUGAUACUACAAUUGUUUGAAUUCACUCCGCUCAGAGACAGGAUUGUAUUGAGGCACAGAUCUGGAAAAAAUUUCUGCUGCAUUGAAGGUUCCCAAGAGCACAGUGGCUUCCAUAAUUCUCAAAUGGAAGAAGUUUAGCAAAACCAGGACUCUUCCAAGAGCUGAUCGCCCAGCCAAACUGAUCAAUUGAUGGAGAAGGGCCUUGUCUAGACUGGUGACCAAGAAGCUGAUGGUCACUCUAAUUGAGCUCCAUGAUCAUAUAUGCAGAUGGGAGAAACCUACAGAAGGACAAACAUCACUGCAACACUCCACCGAUCUGGGCUUUAUAGCGGUGUGGCCAGACUCAAUCCUCUCCUCAGUGAAGACACUUAAAAACACACUUGAAAUUUGCAAAAUAGCACCUAAAGGACCCUCAGGCUCUGAGAAACAAGAUUCUCUGGUCUGAUCAACCUCAAUUCCAAGCAUCAUGUUUGAAGGAAUCCAGCUCUGCUCAUCAACUGCAGAGCAGCAUCCAAAAAGUAAAGUGUGCUGGGAGCAGCCUCAUGUUGUGGGGGAGUUUUUCAGAGGAAGGGACUGAGGGACUCGUCAGAGUAGAAGAAAAGCUCAGUGCACCAAAAUAUAGAGAUAGCCUUAAUGAAAACCCAGUCCAGAGUAUUCAGAACCUGGGCCGAAGGUUCAACUUCCAACAUGACAACGACCCUAAACACAACACAGCCAAGGCAACACAGGAAUGGCUAAGGAACAACUCUGUGAAUGUCCUAGAGUGGCCCAGCCAGAGCCCCGACUUGAACCCUAUUGAACAUCUCUGGAGAGACCUGAUAAUGGCUGUCCACUGAUGGUCCCCAUCCAACCUGACCGAGCUUGAGAGGAUUUGCAAAGAAAAAUGGCAGAAAAUCCCCUAAUACAGGUGUGCUAUGCUUGUUGUGUCAUACCCAAAAAGACUCGAGGCUGUAAUUGAUGCCAAAGGUACUUCAACUAAGUACUUAGUAAAGGGUCUGAAUACUUAUGUAAAUGUGAUAUUUCCGUUUUUUCUUUUUAAUAAAUUUACAUUUCUAAAAUUCUGUUUUCACUUUGUCAUUAUGAGGUACGAAGUGUAGAUUACUGAGAAAAAAAAAA